rnacentral:pre_miRNA from 1 species
AGUACAAUUACUGGAUCAUAUGGUAAGAGUAUAUUUAGUUUUGUGAGGAACUGCCAAAUUGUCUUCCAAAGUGGCUGCAUUUUGCAUUUCCACCAGGAAU